GAGGAAAAGAAACUAACUAGGAUUCCCUUAGUAACGGCGAGUGAACCGGGAUGAGCUCAAAUUUAAAAUCUGGCGUCUUUCAGGCGUCCGAGUUGUAAUCUAUAGAGGCGUUUUCCGCGCCGGACCGCGUCCAAGUCUCUUGGAAUAGAGUAUCAAAGAGGGUGACAAUCCCGUACUUGACGCGACAACCGGUGCUCUGUGAUACGUUCUCAAUGAGUCGAGUUGUUUGGGAAUGCAGCUCUAAAUGGGUGGUAAAUUCCAUCUAAGGCUAAAUAUUGGCGAGAGACCGAUAGCGAACAAGUACCGUGAGGGAAAGAUGAAAAGCACUUUGGAAAGAGAGUUAAACAGCACGUGAAAUUGUUAAAAGGGAAACGAUUGAAGUCAGUCGUGUGAAAGGUAUUCAGCCGUCUCUGGCGGUGUAUUUGCCUUUCACGGGUCAACAUCAGUUUGAUCCGGUAGAAAAAGGCGGGAGGAAGGUGGCACCCUCGGGUGUGUUAUAGCCUCCUGUCAUAUGUGCCGGACCAGACUGAGGAACGCAGCUUGCCGCAAGGCCGGGGUUCGCCCACGUACAAGCUUAGGAUGUUGACAUAAUGGCUUUAAACGACCCGU
rnacentral:rRNA from 1 species